rnacentral:rRNA from 1 species
UACGUAGGGUGCGAGCGUUGUCCGGAAUUAUUGGGCGUAAAGAGCUCGUAGGCGGCCUGUCGCGUCGGUUGUGAAAGCCCGGGGCUUAACCCCGGGUCUGCAGUCGAUACGGGCAGGCUAGAGUUCGGUAGGGGAGAUCGGAAUUCCUGGUGUAGCGGUGAAAUGCGCAGAUAUCAGGAAGAACACCCGUGGCGAAAGCGGCUCUCUGGAACGGUACUGACGCUGAGACGCGAAAGCGUGGGGAGCGAACAGG